GGUAACUCGGGGCCAGCAGCGGGGGGAAAACGGAGGGUGCAAGGGUUAAUCGGAAUUACAGGGCGUAAAGCGGGCGUAGGUGGUUUGUUAAGCGAGGUGUGAAAGCCCCGGGCUUAACCUGGGAAUUGCAUUUCGAACUGGCAAGCUAGAGGACGGUAGAGGGUAGUGGAAUUUCCGGUGUAGCGGUGAAAUGCGUAGAGAUCGGAAGGAACAUCAGUGGCGAAGGCGACUACCUGGACUGAUACUGACACUGAGGUGCGAAAGCGUGGGGAGCAAACAGGAUUAGAUACCCGAGUAGUC
rnacentral:rRNA from 1 species